GGAGAUGUGACUCAAAUGGUAGAGUGCCAGCCUUGAGCAGAAAAGCUGAGGGAUCGUGUCUAGGCCCUGGGUUCAAGCCCCAGUAUCAGCA
rnacentral:tRNA from 1 species